GAUGAACGCUGGCGGCGUGCCUAAUACAUGCAAGUCGAGCGAACAGACGAGGAGCUUGCUCCUCUGACGUUAGCGGCGGACGGGUGAGUAACACGUGGAUAACCUACCUAUAAGACUGGGAUAACUUCGGGAAACCGGAGCUAAUACCGGAUAAUAUAUUGAACCGCAUGGUUCAAUAGUGAAAGACGGUUUUGCUGUCACUUAUAGAUGGAUCCGCGCCGCAUAGCUAGUUGGUAAGGUAACGGCUUACCAAGGCAACGAUGCGUAGCCGACCUGAGAGGGUGAUCGGCCACACUGGAACUGAGACACGGUCCAGACUCCUACGGGAGGCAGCAGUAGGGAAUCUUCCGCAAAGGGCGAAAGCCUGACGGAGCAACGCCGCGUGAGUGAUGAAGGUCUUCGGAUCGUAAAACUCUGUUAUUAGGGAAGAACAAAUGUGUAAGUAACUAUGCACGUCUUGACGGUACCUAAUCAGAAAGCCACGGCUAACUACGUG
rnacentral:rRNA from 1 species